AAACUAGAGUACUUCAGAGGUACGUUGGAAUUCUGUGUGUAGGGUUAAAAUCCGUAGAUACACAGAGGAAUACCAAAAGCGAAGGCAGCGUACUGGGAAGUCACUGACGCUCAGGGACGAAAGCGUGGGUAGCGAACGGGAUUAGAUACCCCGGUAGUCCACGCCGUAAACGAUGGAUACUAGUUGUUGGAGGACUCGACCCCUCCAGUGACGUCGCUAACGCAUUAAGUAUCCCGCCUGGGGAGUACGGUCGCAAGAUUAAAACUCAAAGGAAUAGACGGGGACCCACACAAGCGGUGGAGCAUGUGGUUUAAUUCGACGGUAAGCGAGGAACCUUACCUGGACUUGACAUCCCGAGAAUUUCCCCGAAAAGGGAAAGUGCCGCAAGGAACUCGGUGACAGGUGCUGCAUGGUUGUCGUCAGCUCGUGCCUUGAGGUGUUCGGUUAAGUCCGUGAACGAGCGCAACCCUUGUCCUGUGUUCUAUUUUCACAGGAGACUGCCGGCUUUAACUCGCAGGAAGCUAAGGAUGACGUCAAAUCAGCAUGGCCCUUAUGUCCAGGGCUACACACGUGCUACAAUGGCAGGUACAAUAGGCAGCAAACCCGCGAGGGGGAGCCAAUCCUCAAAAACCUGUCCUAAGUUCGAAUUGAUGGCUGCAACUCGCCAUCAUGAAGUUGGAAUCGCUAGUAACCGCGUAUCAGCCAUGACGCGGUGAAUAUGUUCAUGGGUCUUGUACUCACCGCCCGUCACGUCAUGAAAGGUGGAGGCACCCG
rnacentral:rRNA from 1 species